CACAUGCCAAGUGAAAUAAAGACACACAGAGGACUGGAGUGAGCUCAGGGAAAAAGAGGAGCCUGGGCGGACUCAGGCAGAUACCGUGGGGCAAGUACUGCUGCUGAGGACCUGCCCACUCAGAUCUGAAAGGCUCAUAAAUAACAAGUC